UCAUAUCAUUUAUAGAUUGUGUUCCCUUAUGUAGCUGUGAAUUCAUUAUCAUCAAGCUAUGGAUAAGCUAGACAUCAAAUGAACAAGAGUCACCAUCGCAUUUUUAUUAUUUCCAAGGAAAAGGGGAAGAGGACGAACAAAACCCAAAAACAAGAAGUUUCCAAAUCAAAACUAAUAAAAUUCCAGAGAUUAUAGGUAAGGGGGUUGGUUACACAGAGGGAAGGUGUUAG
rnacentral:lncRNA from 1 species